rnacentral:rRNA from 1 species
AUGCUUCUACUUUCUGUAUGGAGCUGGGAGCGUCUGCCUGUUGGACGCCCGAAGAGCGUCAGGUUUAAUCCUUGGUAUGAAGAUGAAGAUGACGAAUUACGGCGCCCCACUUGGGCUUACAAGUGGGAUGUGGUUUCCGAGAUGACGAACGAUGUCAAUCUCAUGUACCAGAAGUACGUUGCCGAGUUGGACACGAUUACGCCUGAGCAGGUGGAAUGGCAGCCAUAUGGCGCCGAUGACAGACUUGGGUACACCCCAGAGUUUACCAUCAACCCGAUGUGCUUGCGGGAUAGGGAUCUCUGGCGUAUGCGGUGCCCACUGAUAUGCAACUGGGCUGUUGAGUUUCAUUUGCCACAUCGUGUGUGUCGUCAGUUUGGUCUGUUCUAG